CAAUUUUGUACUAAAUUUAGCAAUCGUCUUUUAAAAUUGUAUGUAUAUUUUUGCUUUACGCGAUUUUAAUAUUACUACGCCAGCGGUCGAUCAUAGCCAAAGUACUUGCAUAAAUAUAGUACAAAUUACAUGUAGUCACAAGUUAAUUAAGUGUCAUAGAACUCAAAAAUUUAGCAAGUAAUGGAAUACGGAUUUCAGAUCAGCUAACUUUAAAGCUUAUAGGGCCUAAUGCUUCAUAAGUGUAAAUUUAAGAAAAACAAUGCAUGCGUAUGAAUACGAACUAUUUUCGCCCUAACGUCAUUUUUCCGCAAUCGCCAUUGUUUACAAGUUCAUCCGUGAAAGAUUGAGAAGUUUAUAUAGAAGUUCCACGUGUUAAAACGAGUUGUUUGUGAAUAAAGGCUUGUUUGUUAGAUUUCAAUUGUGGCUCAGUUGGUUGUUUGCUGAGAAGCUGUGAAACAUAAUUAUACAGGCCAUUAAGGAGGUUUUUGUCAGAUUGAUGAAUGUGAAAUUAAGAGGACCCAUUUUGAGAAUGCUUUUUAUGAAUGGAAUCAAGAGAGAUAAAGUCUAAAAUGUGAUACUGUCAAUGUGACUAACCUUGAAGUAAACAGAUGACACAAUGUUUUUUCAAUGUCAUGGGCAUAUAAUGAAGAGAAAACAGAGAUGCUUGUUUGACAGAUACAGUAAUAGUAGGAGUUAUGAGGGAAGAUAGAUUGCAGUGAUAACUAUAUUGAGGCACCACUUCAUCACCAAGAACAUGAAAUGAAUUAUCAAUGUUUUCAAUGUGUUUGAACACCCAUUUUAAAUAAUACAGCUCAGAGUGAAUUUUUCAAAAUAAUUAAUUCUGUUUUCAAAGUUUUUUAUUUAGAUGUUAGUUGAUCUUGUCAAGUACUUUAUUUUUUUAGGGAUGGCAACAAUUACUAAAAUCAAUACUCGAGUACUCGGUCAUUUAGAGUAUUCGGUUACUGGGAUGAUUUCCAAUGAUCUUUAAAUUUUUAUCACACAAUAUCAACACCGUCUGCAUGCUACCUUCAUUUUCUAUUUUAAUUCAUAGAAUUUGUAGCUAUAAAUAGGAUUGCAAGAAAUACAUAUAAUAAAUAUAAGCAUAAGAAAUGUCAAUGACAGCAUUUAUUAUAUACCAAUAAAUUUUCUUCCUAAAACACAGGAUUAUCUUGAAGCGCAAAUAGUUUUCAACGGUUAGAAAAUUCUGUAUUAUGUUAGAGACAAAACAGUACCAUAUAUGAAAGGCCUGGACUAUUUUUAUGCUCCCCGAAAAAUUUCGGGUGAGCAUAUAGUCGCCGCCUUGUCCGUCCGUCCAUCCCCUUUUCUUGUCCGGGACUUAACUUUGAAACAACAAGAGGUAUCAACAUGAAACUUUGUAGGUACAGUCUAUGCGAAAGACUUCUGAGUUUUACUGGACAGUAGGUCCUGUAAACUGAAAAUUUUUACUGGACCAAACAUGAUUUUACUGGACCGAAAAAAACCUGAUUGGUAUAGCAUUUUGAGUCAUUUGAGUGUCAGCAGUCAAAAAAUUUGUGUACAAAAAGAAAAUUGUAUUAUCAACGAAGUGAAGUUAUCUUUUUUCACCACAAUCAAAAUGUAAACAUAAAUAUUGUUAUACAUGUAUUCAAUGGAUUUUGCUAUUUAAACUUUAAUUUCAUACAGCAAAAUGAGAGGGUAAAUUUCAGCAAAAGUCUGGCAUAUGUAAACAGAAUUAUAUAUAUCGGUAAUUUAGUGAAGUUGACAGAUUAAUUGUUCAAUGAUUUUGGUACCUUCACAGUAUAGUUUAAUUUUUGUCAACAUCUUGGACGAUCUUUCAUAGCUAAACACCAGUUGAGCACACAUGUAAUUUAACAUUUCUCUAAGUCUGUGGAUUAAAGACGUAAAUUGUUCCAAUUAAUUCACUGACGCUUUCAUCUGUGUAAACAAACUAAUAGCGGUUGACCUUUUACAUCUGGGCCGCUUAUGUAAUUUACAUGGCCGCUUAUUGACUUUUACUUGUACUAGUUGUCGGAUAUUUUUAUCUUACGUUGUUACAUUAAAGUUUGCAUUAUGAGAAUGCAUAACAGUUGACAAGCAUUGCACGAGCUUAUAUUGUGUAAUGACAACAUUUUGAUUUGUUUUGAAUGUAGGUAAAUGAUCGGCCUUUGCAAAAUGUUGAAUGUAAGGUUUUUAUAAAUCCUUAAUUUUUACCGGACCGUCGGGCCGUCAAAACAUAUAUUUUUAUCGGACCUUCUGAUUUUUACCGGUCAGGGCGGGCCGACGGUCUUUCAGAAAGACUGUAGGUAGAUAGAUCUCAUUGAGUAGGUGUGCAGUGCACAAGAACCGUAACUCUGCCUUGCCUAAUUUUUGAAUUAUUCCCCUUUGUUUAUUUUUACACUUUGAACUUUGUCCGGGACAUAACUCUAAAACUAUAAGAGGUAUCAACAUGAAACUUUGUAGGUAGAUAGAUCUAAUUGAGUAAGUGUGCAGUGCACAAGACUGUAACUCUGCCUUGCUUAAUUUUUGAAUUAUUCCCCUUUGUUUAUUUUACACUUUGAACUUUGUCCAGGACAUAACUCUAAAAGUAUAAGAGGUAUCAACAUGAAACUUUGUAGGUAGAUAGAUCUCAUUGAGUUGGUGUGCAGUGUACAAGAACCGUAACUCUGCCUUGCCUAAUUUUUGAAUAAUCCCCCUUUGUUUAUUUUACACUUUGAAAUUUGUCCGGGACAUAACUCUAAAACUAUAAGAGGUAUCAACAUGAAACUUUGUAGGUAGAUAGAUCUCAUUGACUUGGUAUGCAGUGCACAAGAACCGUAACUCUGCCUUGCCUAAUUUUUGAAUUAUCCCCCUUUCUUUAUUUUACACUUUGAACUUUGUCUCUAAAACUAUAACAGGUAUCAACAUGAAACUUUGUAGGUAGAUAGAUUUCAUUGAGUUGGUAAGCAGUGAACAAGAACCUUAACUCUCCCUUGCCUAAUUUUUGAAUUAUCCCCCUUUGUUUAUUUUUACACUUUGAACUUUGUCCGAGACAUAACUCUCAAUGUAAAAGAGAUAUCAACAUGAAACUUUGUAGGUAGAUAGAUAUCGUUGAGUAAGUUUGCAGUGCACAAGAACUGUAACACUGUCUUGCCUACUUUUGGAGUUAUUGCCCUUUGAUCAUUUUGACACUUUAAACUCUGUCCAGGACAUUACUCUAAGCAGUGCUUAAGAAUCAUUACUCUGCCUUGCCUUAUUUUGAAGUAAUUGCCCUUUGUUUAUUUUUACUUUUUGACUUUUGUCCGAGACAUAACUUUAAAACUAUUAGAGAUAUCAACAUGAAACUUUGUAGGUAGCUAGAUAUAAUUGGAUAGAACUGCAAUGCUUAAAGAACCUAAAGAAAGCCUGGUCUAAUUUUGGAGUUAUUACCCUAAUUUCAUUUUUACACUUUGAAUUUUACCUUGGACAUAACUCUGAUAUCAUCAGGCAACUUUAUAGAUAGAAAGAUCUAAUUGAAUAGAAGUGCAGUGCAAAAAAAAAACAUAACUCCGCUUUGCCUAAUUUUGGGGGUUUUGCCCUUUGUUCAUUUUUUUUAUACUUUCCAGUGUCCAGAACCUUCUCGGGGAGCAUCAACCGGUUCUUGUUAAUGUUGGUUCUGAUCUUAGCUGUGUAUAACAUAGUAUAUGGAAAUGGCAACCAAAAUAAUAAAAGGUGUGGCUGGUUUUGCACAAAUUACGUAUUCAUCUGUCAGUCAUAAUUUAUUUCUUGACAGCUACAUUUCUUUUUCUGAAAUUUCUUAUAUAAGUGUAGUAUAAUGAAAAUCAUUUAUACUUCAAACGAAAAGGUAUAUUAUUAAAGGAAAAUUAUGUUGUAGUAGCUUUCUGAGGCUAUGCAUUUUUCUACUUGCAAUGUUGGAAAAUUGUUAUCUAGCUCGCCCUUUGGUCUCGCAAGAUAUCAAUUUCCCACCACUGCUCAUAGCAAAAUACAAAGCCUCAGAGAGCUACUACAACAUAAUACUCUGUAUAUAUAUAUAUUUUAUAAUUAACAAGUUUGGGCUAUCCUUGAACUUUUUUUUAUUUAAUCAAGUUUGAUUUUUUUUAAAUAUAUUUAUAUGAAUGCAUGCAGCUUUGAAAUAGAUUUUACUUAUGUAUAUUUGGCAGCAAUUUCAUAUGUAGCUCUUCGAAAAAAAAUCACUUGAGCAAAAAAAUUUUUAUAGGCAUAAAGUGAUACCCGUUCUGUCAUCAUCAGUUUUUGGUUUUUAGCUCACCUGAGCUUGCUCAGGGUGAGCUUUUAGGAUCGGUGAAUGUCCGUCGUCCGUCCACAAUUGCUUGUGAACACUCUAGCGGUCGCAUUUUUGCCUCAAUCAUCAUCAAACUUGGUCAGGAUGCUUAUCUAGUUGAUAGCUUGGAUGAGUUCGAACAUGAGUCAUCUCGGAUGAAAGACUAGGUCACAAGAGCUAAAAAAAGAAAAACCUUGUGAACACUGUAGAGGUCACAUUUUUGACCCAAUCAUCAUUAAACUUGGUCAGGAUGUUUGCCUAGGUGAUAGCUCGAAUGAGUUCAAACAUGGGUCAUCUCUGAUGAAAAAGUAGGUCACAGGAGCUACAAAUAGAAACACCUUGUGAACACUCUUGUGGUCACAUUUUUAAACCAAUCAUCAUCAAACUUGGUCAGAAUGCUUGUCUAGUCAAUUGCUUGGAUGAGUUUGAACAUGGGUCAUCUCUGAUGAAAAACUAGGUCACAGGAGCUAAAAAUAGAAAAACCUUGUGAACACUCUAGUGGUCACAUUUUUGACCCAAUCAUCAUCACACUUUGUCAGGAUGCUUAUCUAGUUGAUAGCUCGGAUGAGUUCGAACAUGGGUCAUUUCGGAUGUAAAACUAGGUCACCGGAGCUAUAAAUAGAAAAACCUUGUUAACACUCUAGCAGUCACAUUUUUGCAUCAAUCAUCAUCAAACUUGGUCAGGAUGCUUAUCUAGUUGAUAUCUUGGAUGAGUUCGAACAUGGGUCAUCUCAGAUGAAAAAGUAGGACACCGGAGCUAAAAAAUAGAAAAACAUUGUUAACACUCUAGCGGUCACAUUUUUGCAUCAAUCAUCAUCAAACUUGGUCAGGAUGCUUGUCUAUGUGAUUAGCUCGGAUGAGUACAAACAUGGGUCAUCUCGGAUGAAAAAGAAGGUCACCGGAGCUAAAAAUAGAAAAAACCUUGUUAACACUCUAGCAGUCACAUUUUUGCAUCAGUCAUCAUCAAACUUUUGUCAAGAUGUCUGUCUAGUUGAUAGCUCGGAUGAGUUUGAACAUGGGUCAUCUCGGAUGAAAAAGUAGGUCACCUGGGGUAGAAAUAGAAAAACCUUGUUAACACUCUAGUGGUCACAUUUUUGCAUCAAUCAUCAUCAAACUUGAUUAAGAUGCUUGUCUAGGUGAUAGCUCGGAUGAGCUCGGACAUGGGUCAUCUCGGAUGAAAAACUAGGUCACAGGAGCUAAAAAUAGAAAAACCUUGUUAACACUCUAGUGGUCACAAUUUUGACUCAAUUGUUAGCAAACUUGGUCAGGAAACUUGCUUAGGUCAUUGCUGGGAAUAAAUCGAACAUGGGACAUCUCGGAUGAAAAACUAGGUCACAGGAGAUAAAAAUAGAAAAAUCUUGUUAACACUCUAGUGGCUACUGUUGUGAUCCAAAUAUUCUGUUAAUUGGUUUAAAAGUUUGUUUUGAUGAUUUCUAAGUCAAGAUUCAACAUGGGUCAUCUUGGAUGAAAAACUAGGUCACACCGCCCAAAUAUGGAAAAGCCUUGUUAACAUUCUAGUGGUCACAUUUUCGACUCAAUUAACAUCAAACUUGGUCAGGAUGCUUGUCUAGGUAAUUGCUUGGAUGAGUUCGAAAUCGCGUGUGAAACUAGGUCACCGGAGCUAAAAAUAGAAAAAUCUUGUUAACACUCUAGUUGCUACUGUUUUUAUCCAAGUAUCCUGGAAAUUGGUCUGACAGUUUGUUUUGAUGAUUUCUAGGUCAAGUUUGAAUAUGUGUCACCUGGGUAAAAAACUAGGUCGCACUGCUCAAAUAUGGAUAAUCCUUGUUAACACUGUAGUGGUCAUAUUUUUGACUCACCUGUCAUGAGACUUGGUCAGAAUGCUUGUCUAGGUAAUUGUUUGGAUGAGUUUGAUAAGUCAGGUGAGCGAUCUAGGGCUAUCAUGGCCCUCUUGUUUUGUAUGGUUUUAUUUAAGAAAUAUUUUGUUCCAGUUAUUUACAGAUGUUUGUAUGAUUAUUGGAUUAAAGUUAAAGUAC